AGCGAACGCUGGCGGCAGGCCUAACACAUGCAAGUCGAACGAACCCUUCGGGGUUAGUGGCGGACGGGUGAGUAACACGUGGGAACGUGCCUUUAGGUUCGGAAUAACUCAGGGAAACUUGUGCUAAUACCGAAUGUGCCCUUCGGGGGAAAGAUUUAUCGCCUUUAGAGCGGCCCGCGUCUGAUUAGCUAGUUGGUGAGGUAAUGGCUCACCAAGGCUACGAUCAGUAGCUGGGCUGAGAGGAUGACCAGCCACAUUGGGACUGAGACACGGCCCAAACUCCUACGGGAGGCAGCAGUGGGGAAUCUUACGCAAUGGGCGAAAGCCUGACGCAGCCAUGCCGCGUGGAUGAUGAAGGUCUUAGGAUUGUAAAAUCCUUUCACCGGUGAAGAUAAUGACUGUAGCCGGAGAAGAAGCCCCGGCUAACUUCGUGCCAGCCGCCGCUGUAAAAC
rnacentral:rRNA from 1 species